rnacentral:rRNA from 1 species
CAGUCGCCGCGGUAAUACGUAGGGGGCGAGCGUUGUCCGAAGUUACUGGGCGUAAAGCGCGCGUAGGCGGCUUCUUAAGUCUGAGGUGAAAGGUUCAACGCUUAACGUGAACAGUGCCUUGGAUACUGGGGAGCUUGAGUAUGGGAGAGGGCAGUGGAAUGGCUGGUGUAGCGGUGAAAUGCGUAGAUAUCAGUCGGAACACCCAUGGCGAAGGCAGCUGCCUGGCCUAAUACUGACGCUGAGGUGCGAAAGCGUGGGGAGCGAACGGGAUUAGAUACCCGUGUAGUCCCUGUCUCUUAUA